UACGGAGGGGGCAAGCGUUAUUCGGAAUCAUUGGGCGUAAAGGGCGCGUAGGCGGCUUGGCAAGUCAAAGGUGAAAUCCCUCGGCCUAACCGAGGAACUGCCUUUGAAACUGCUUGGCUUGAGGCCGGGAGAGGGUAGCGGAAUUCCCAGUGUAGCGGUGAAAUGCGUAGAUAUUGGGAGGAACACCAGUGGCGAAGGCGGCUACCUGGACCGGUUCUGACGCUGAGGCGCGAAAGCGUGGGUAGCAAACAGG
rnacentral:rRNA from 1 species